ACUUCGGUCUGGUGGCGAGUGGCGAACGGGUGAGUAAUAUAUCGGAACGUCGCCCAGUCGGUGGGGGAUAACGUAGCGAAAGUUUACGCUAAUACCGCAUACGAUCUAAGGAUGAAAGCGGGGGACCGUAAGGCCUCGCGCGAUUUGGAGCGGCCGAUAUCAGAUUAGGUAGUUGGUGGGGGUUAAAAAGCCCACCAAGGCGACGAUCAGUAGCUGGUCUGAGAGGACGAUCAGCCACACUGGGACUGAGACACGGCCCAGACUCCUACGGGAGGCAGCAGUGGGGAAUUUUGGACAAUGGGGGCAACCCUGAUCCAGCAAUGCCGCGUGAGUGAAGAAGGCCUUCGGGUUGUAAAGCUCUUUUGUCAGGGAAGAAACACCGGCUCUAACACAGUCCGGGAAUGACGGUACCUGAAGAAUAAGCACCGGCUAACUACGUG
rnacentral:rRNA from 1 species